rnacentral:rRNA from 1 species
GCCAGACUCCUACGGGAGGCAGCAGUGGGGGAUAUUGCACAAUGGGGGGAACCCUGAUGCAGCGACGCCGCGUGAGCGAUGAAGUAUUUCGGUAUGUAAAGCUCUAUCAGCAGGGAAGAAAAUGACGGUACCUGACUAAGAAGCCCCGGCUAACUACGUGCCAGCAGCCGCGGUAAUACGUAGGGGGCAAGCGUUAUCCGGAUUUACUGGGUGUAAAGGGAGCGUAGACGGCAUGGCAAGUCAGAUGUGAAAGCCCGGGGCUCAACCCCGGGACUGCAUUUGAAACUGUCAGGCAGGAGUGCAGGAGAGGUAAGUGGAAUUCCUAGUGUAGCGGUGAAAUGCGUAGAUAUUAGGAGGAACACCAGUGGCGAAGGCGGCUUACUGGACUGUAACUGACGUUGAGGCUCGAAAGCGUGGGGAGCAAACAGGAUUAGAUACCCCUGUA